CUCAGUGGCAUUGCCAGCUCGUCAGGGAAAGUACCAGACGAGCCAUCUGGAUGUGAGCCAGGAAAGUGAGCAGGGUUUCACGCGUGCUUUUCUGAGGGGCACGUUAGAAAUGCACAUUCUGAUAAAGGCACAACAGAAUGAAGCAGGGAAAGGAAAACCUUGAGACUGCAAAAGGGACCCAAGAAGAGCUCGGUGGAAAAUGAAUUCUCAUAACCCUGACAUGAGAGCAGCCAGUUUAGAAAUCAGUCCCUUUCCCAGAUUCCUGGAGUGCCUCAAGGCUAGAGUGCCUGGAAACACCCUACCUACGAUUCUGACCGACCUUAAGGAUAUGCCCACAAUCCUGACCUGCACUACAGAAGAGCCCCCGGCUGUACCCUGGGCUCCUGUGUGGGAGCUGAGCUGACACCCUGUCAGUCUCCAUCUGCCUUUUCUUCUCUAUUAAAGUCUUUCCUUGUCCCUGGA